rnacentral:hammerhead_ribozyme from 1 species
AUCCAGCUGAUGAGUCCCAAAUAGAACGAAACACGCGUCCUCGAU